CGAUAUCGCCGGCAUGGCGGGGCUGCUGCCUGCGUUAGUGCUCGUGGCUCUUUGUGCCGUGACAGCGGAUGGAGCGGCGCUGAGCGGGACACCCAGAGAUGGCCGGGAGAAUGCCCAGCGCAGGGAGCGGGCGGGCUGUGUGCUUCGGAUGGCACAGGUGCGAGCUGCAAAGCCACCCCCCCUUCCGCCCCUGCCCUCCCGAGCCCCGGGGAAAAUGCUUUCCAGCAUUGUCGAGCUUCUGAAAGACAAAACUUGUGAUUUGACACUAGCAUCCAGAAAAGGUUUCUGUCUAGAUUAGCAAAUGCCUAAAUUGUUCUUGGUUACAUCCCAUGACCGGUUUUAGGCAGUGACUUCAUACUGCUUUUAGGAUUUUCUUGUACACUGGUGAGAAAAUAGGCAGGUCUGAUAGUGGUUUCACUUUUUUUCUACUUCACGUUCCAUAAGAUUCUUUUAUCCAAGCGAUUGUUUUAAAAUUCUACUGUAAGCGUUUGUGGUUCACUUUUUUUUUCUUUGCAGCACCCGGGCCUUUUUUUUUUUCUCUAAAUCGGGAGUAAAUAUAGCUGAGUAAAAUUACCUUGGUUAUCUUCCUUCUUUUUAAACUUAAUUGUUUUUAUUAAUAAUUCUAUCUGAAUAUGCAGAAAAAGUGAGUAUGUCCUGUAAUCUAUGCUAGCUUUUCUCGUUUACAGGGUACUCACAAAAUAUGUCUCCCUUAGUGUCCCACAGAAACAUUCUGGGUGCAAUCUGAAUUAAGGUAUGUGUUUUCAAAUAAGUAAUCAGUUUAGAUAUUUGCCUGUGUACCUUUUCCUGUAAUUCAGAGCUUGUGUUCUGUGGGUUUUAUGAUAAACCUGUAAAACAUGUAAGAAUGGUUUUGCAAGUCUGAAUCGUUGAAGGCAGCAAUAAGUGGAUUUAAAGCCUGUUCUUGAGCAGACAAAGGGGAAAAGUGUGACUCUGAUGCUGAACUUGUCAUUUUUCAUUUGACUUGCCUUUAAUUAUUGAAGAAGAGAGAGAACUAGGAAAAGAAAUAGAAUUGAUUAUUGAGCACUCCUAAAAAGCUCACCAUGAUUCUGUGUAGAGCCAAAGUGAAGGAUGAUGGAACAGAGCUCUGUGCAUUAGAAGGAAAUAAACCUGAUGUCCACACAGAGUCUUACUAAUUUCUGUUUUUAAAAUGCAAAAUAAGUUUAGGAAGUGUUGGAAGUUAGUAUUUUGGGAAAGAAAUGGCAGUUCCACAAAACAUUCCAUUCCAUUUAAGAGAGGCCCUUGGACUGAUUCAUGUUGUAACUGCUGUCACUGCAAUCAGUUGGUGGUUCAGCCUUGAAACGUGCACUUGGCCUUCUAUAAAGCACUGUUUUGUUUGCCUUUCAGUGCUAUGAGUCUUGAUAAAUUGGAGAAGUGCCCAAGAGAAAUUCAUCAUCCUGAGAUACAAAAGGUAGGAAGUGACUUUUUCUGGUUUGGUUCUUUUUCUUUAUUGUUUUCUGGAAAUAGAAGUAAUUAAGUAUAGAUACUACUGGUUUGUUUCUUCCAGUAGCUGAUAAUACUAAUACCAAUAAUAAUAAUAAUAAUAAUAGUAAAGUAAUACUACUUCAACUGUCUUUAUUUAUCCAUUGAACUGGCCAUUUUAAAUCUAAACUUCUAAACACAAAUCAAACCAUCAUCCUUGUAGAAUCUUUAAUAGGAGUGGGCUAAAGAUCCUGGUUUUGUUGACAGGAUUUAUUGGUUCAUGAACAGCAAGAGGUAAGUACAAGCCUAACUACCCUCUAGCUCACAGACCUGCCCGGUGAAUAGAGCUUUGUUUUUUUGAUGGGCUUGUGAUGACUUUGAGAUCAAUUGCUCAUUCAUUACAGUAAAAAAAAAAAAAUUGUUUUGAACAUGACAGCAAAAAUAACUUUAAGCACAACUUAAUAAUAAUAAUAGAUCACCAAUUUUAGUUAAUAAUUUUAUGCUAUACUCUUGGGUGAGGGAAGACUCGGACACUCAAUAUGAGAUCAGCAAGCUAUGUUUAUUGCAGAGAGUAUCAGACACUUAUACAGCACAUAAUAAGCUUAUGAAUAUUCUGUAAGCCAAGCGAUCUAUUGGUUAAACUAUACCAUCAACUCUUCCUCAUUCCUUUGGGCCUACAUUCCCUAUUUCCCACGUCUCUCUGUCUACUUGUUAUCCUACCCAGCUAGGCCCAGGCACACGCUAUCUUGCAGGUGCAAAACUCAAAAAUACCUGUGUUCGGUACUUUCCCAGCUCCUGGUCGGCUAACGAGCGAAUGUCUGCGUGACCUCUGUCAUGGAGCCAUUUCUCCACACUAUACUAUCAAAGUUUAAAGGUAAAUUAUUAUAUAUUAGGAGAUGGUGUAAAGUGUAUGUUGUAAUGUGUAGGAUAUAUACAAAGAUACGUACUUGAAAGUCCGUAGAGGAAACAAAUUUUUACGCCUUCUGUUUGACUGUUUGUCAUAUAUUUGGUUUUAUUUCCCAGGGAUCAGUGAAUUUUAACUCUGGAGUCCUCUAUGCUAAGGAUGCUCAGCUUAGAGAUGAUGAAAUGUUCAGUAAUGUAUUUGCUGCAGCUCUGCUUACCCAAGCUUUGGGUUCCUUCUGUCCCACUGGGAGUUGCCCAGUUUGGUUGCAUCUGGUGAAAUUCACCCUGAGACCUUACAGAACCAGCUCCAACUACGUGAGAGCCAUUUGCAGUUCUCUCCAGACACCUGGAGAAUGGGCGACAUUUCUGAGAAUCCGGCGAGCGUGCUUCUAUCAAAACUCAGUCUGUGAAAUUCCUGGGGAAAACCCUUCUGUGUCCUGAAGGGUUCAAACUCUGGAUUUUUUGUCUUUGCAAAAUAUUGUGCAUUUCACUCUUUGGAACCUCUCAGAUGGUUCUCUGGUGCAGCACCACCCCAUGGGACACUUGGCUGCUGUCCUGAAGGGUUUGGUCGCUAGAAUUGUGAAUCCUGGAGAGUUUGUGAGUCUUCUGUCCCCAGGGAGGUACCAUGCUUUGUUUACUUUUUGUUCUGUUGGUUAGGCGCUGCUUCUCGUUGCAAGUACGAAUUUCAAACUGCCCUGUUCUUUUUUUAACUGUUUUCCUGGUUCUCUCCGUCCGGCAGGGAAAGACUCUCGUAUCCUUGUCAUCGGGCUCGGUGCUGUCCAAGAAGAUACAGAGACUAAAAAAAUCAUAAGAAGCAAAAUAUGACUGCAGGGAAAAGAAGCUGGAGAGAACAGAAGGUGAUGUUGUUAUCCUUACCCUGUAUUAGAAACAUCCGCUGUGCUUUGAUGCUGGCAGCUGCCAGGGGCUUGUUAGCUCUUUGUAGGCAGGUGUAGGUGUUCACUUGUAGGUUUUUUCUCUGUUCAAGUCAAUUCAAACUUUGCUAAGCUUAUAUUUGCAGAUUACUCUCUAGCACAGUCCAGCAUGACAUUUUUGAAUGUUGUAAAAAUACCAUGUUACUUGGAAAUUGCUAAUGAAGAGAAGAUUUAGGGGAAAAUAAGAUUUCAGGGUUGGAAGAUGUGAGAAGAAUUUUGUGGGGACGUUAGACUGAAGUAAAGCACACUUGAAGCUGGACUGGCACGCUGGCAGGUCCCCUAUUAAACAGUAGUGCUGAGAUUAGCCUGGGGGUUGCCCAUUGUUUCUGUAGAAAUCAAUGUUUCCUGGUCUUCAGAGGUAAGCUGCUUUGAAAAGCUGGAAGGUGCAGCAUGCUGACAAUCCCCGUGCUUUGGAUUAAAAGUAGAUUUCAGAAGGGUCCUAAGCUUUUGUCUUUUCCUUGAAGUUGAUGUAAUCCUGUCGAGGAGUUUUUAAUUCUCUGUUGCCAUGUCAUCCAUCAGAGCCCUGUUGUACUAAUCUUAUACAAGUACAAAACAAAAAAUCAGACCCUGUCCCAAGCACUUAGAGGCCAGAACACGAUUUCCUCAGGCUGCCAUUUGUGUGCCAUCGGUACUCACCACGAAUUGAGCCCUCUGGCUCUGACAGAGCCCCUGGAUGCUGACAGAAGGGGGCUGGUCACAGACCCUGGAGGUGCCUGUCCCCCAGGGUGGGAGAGGACGAGGCAGUGUGGCCUGCAGGGAGGGUCUGGUCCCCAGAGAGCAGCCGGCGACUCCAUGCCUGCCCGGGGCUGCGGGUGCACCCUCGGGGUGGACGCCUGCCCUCAGGUUUCCCCUGGGCACCCGGGGAGGGAACCAGGUCCAUCCGUGUGGCAGCUGCAGGGCCUGCAGGCUCUGGGCCCUGGAGCCGAGUGAGCCUGAGCUGCUGCACGCUUGCUGUGAGCGUUGGGGUGAGCGUGCAUCACUGCAGGCCUGGGAUGGAUUGAA